GGGGAUGAUCGGUUUCGACACUGCUUCAUGCCCACACGAUGCCAUAUGCGGUCGGCCAGUAACCGCACUAAACACUGGUCAAACAUAUAACUGGCUAUUCAACCGCCAAUUACGCGUUCGCCUAAGGGCGUCGCGCAUCGCACCCUGACGCUUGCUACGGGAUUCUGCGGUGUCAUCUAGCUCGCUCUGGUUAGUCACCUUCAUGUCGUGACUCUCCGAACCUAAGAUCAUGAUAGUCUGCGCUUAUCUUGCCGGUUCCCUACGCGCAGGCGAACAACCGAAUCGGAUACAUUGGUAGUACGUCGUGUCGGUCAUCGUAGUGGACUGGGGUUCGAUUCCCCACAUCUCCACAG
rnacentral:tmRNA from 1 species